CAGGAUGGAGCUUGAGUCACGUGACAGGAUUGUGGCGUGAGCGGGAGGGCAGAAGAGAAGAGCAGACCUGACGGAAAUUCACGCAACAUGUUGCUGUCUGCUUGGUCGCUGCUCGUCAUCGCCGUGGCAGGCGCCAGCGGUGACGAGUUGGAGGCAGUCACGAGCGAAGUGUUGGCCUCAGAAGGCGAACAGGUCACACUGUUGUACGAUUACGCCAAGAAAGCUGCAGGUUCUGAUUAUUUCUUCUGGUUCCGACAACUUCCUGGACAACCGCCCAACUUCCUGCUCUCUCACUUGGGAAGCGGCAGCCAGUUAAACGCCAAGUCAGGAAUGUCGGCGAGCGUCGCAAGUGACGGGAGGCGAGUGCACCUGCACAUCGAGGAUGCGACACUUGAGCACUCUGCAGUGUACUACUGUGCAGUGAGGCCCACAGUGACACAAGCGCCACGUUCUCCGUACCAGAACCCAAACGCAUCACAUCCCACUGCGCUGUCGUAGCUUACAAAAAGUCUCCACAUCCAUUGCGUAAAAUCUUUUCCGUUGUAUGAAUGAGAGCAUUUCUCACUGAAGUGUGAAAGGAUUUUAGUUUAUGUUCUCAGCAUACUCAAGAAUAUAACGUGGAACCUAUUUCACGUUUGUAUUAUGAGCCUGGCAUACGCACAGACAUUUUUAAAGGCUGGCGCUCAAGCCAGAAAAGGGCUUUCAUCAGCAAAAUUAUUCAUUCAAGAAUUUAUUGAAGUAAAUGUAUAAGUAUUUAUUUAUUUCUCACAUUUUACAUGGACAAUAAUACCACUAAUAAGUGAUAAACGGUGGAUAUAAAAAGUGAACACACUCCUAUUGAAAUGAAAUGAAGUACAUUUCAGCAGUGUGUGUGAGACAACAUGAGACCUUCGGAGUGUUGUGCUGCGACAAGGGAGGACAUGUUUGUUUGACAAGGUGCACGGUGACGUCAUCGCAACAGGAAGCGAAGGCCACGCCCCCUCAGCCACAAGUCAGCAUUCACGAGGACCACCAGCGCAGACAUGAAUCGGCUACUCGUGAGCGUGCUGAUGGCCGCUUUGAGUCUCGGAAACGGACAGGAAAUGGUGCGGCAGCCAAAAGGCCACGUCCACGCCCUGGAGGGCGAAAAGGUGACCCUCAACUGCAGCUUCGAGAGCACAGGGAGCAACGACUACAUCUUCUGGUACAAACAGGAACCGAACGCAGCACCUGAUCUUGUUUUGAGAGUCUCGAAGUUCGGAAAGGACAUGAUGGAGAAGAAGUACGCCGACAGGUUCGGUUCCAGCGUGGACGCCAGCGCCCGGCACGCUCCUCUGCACAUCGAGAGCGUGAAGCCGAGCGACUCCGGAGUCUACCACUGCGCCCUGCGGCCCACGCUGACACAUUCGCCGGCGUGCCCGUACAAAAACAUCUGCACCCGCCUCGUGCCACGUUUUGGAGGUGUGGUCUCGCGGGACUAGAUGAGUCGGGCGUGGAAAACGCCAGCCCACAUGCGACAUAUAUUUCCAGUAUAUAUAUCUUGCCAUCAAAAGAACUGUGUCUUGCUCAAAUAAAUAGGGACAUACCCACCACAAAAGACUGCUUGGAUGGCGGCACAUGUCGCACCGAAACCUGUAUGUACAUUUCACUGUUAAUGUUGCCUUUUCAGAUGCGCAAGUUAGCCAUGACAUGGCACUAACCCACCACCAAAGCGUCAUAGACUGGCUUUUGAACUUGUCGCUGAUUUGCAAACCCUGACCCAGACCAAACUAUUUUUAAGAAAUGAUUUGGAAUUCUCAUUGACCUUUACAGAAAAAUGUUUGAUAGUAAUGAGUGGCUGAAAUUGUUGAGCAAAACAUUAUAAACUUGGUCCAGGCCAGUUUGAACUGAACUCAAUCCAAAGGAGACCAAUAAGUUUGUCCACUUCUCUACGUGUUCUUCUCAAGGUGGUGUGUUGACAUCCGGAGACCACUUGCUGAUUGCAGAAGGAAACCAGAUCCGGCCCGCCGCAUGAUUUUACGUGGCCGCAAAGGCAAAUCAUGUGUGUCAACUUCCAUCAUUCUUGUUCAUAUCUUGUCUUAUCCAAAAUAAAAACAUUAAGAUCUUGCAAGCAAUUUUGUCUUCCCCAACAUAUACAUGAAGAGGUUCGAGGGAAGAGCUGCAGUGUGGCGCUGGAAUAAGUUUUUCUUUAUUUAUUUUUUACUACAUUGGGAGAUUUGUGGUGGUCUCAUUU